CGCUGGCGUUCUGGAACGACGGAGCCCGUGUCUUCACUCCUGCUUACUAUCAGGCUCUGUCCCCUCUCCUCGUGGGGUGCCCCCCUCACUCGUCCCAGCCAGGCCGGCCAUUCCCUCCCUGGCUCUGCCCCAGAAUUUCUCUCAAGGCCGGUCCCCUGGCUUCCCCUUGGCAUCAGCCGCUGUUGUCCUCUGCUUCUUUCUCAUCAUACUUCUUGCUUCAGAUCAUCUGGGCAAGGCCACAUGUCCAAGAGCCCCUUUUCCCAUGGGCCACUUCACAGGUGGCGGGCGAUCCUUGAGUCAAGUGCCAACUUCAGCCACUCUGGCCCAGCCAGGGGUGUGAGGGCAUCAUCCGUGCAGAGAAGCUCAACGUGUGAAGAGUUCUGUCGUGUAUCAUUUGGAAAGCUCAUCCGUUGGCGUCUGCGGGAUCUCAGGCAGGUCUUAGCAACCUCUUUAGCCCGAGUGCCCUUGACGGGUCUGGACACCAUCCACAGCAUGAACUUCCCCUGCCACUACACUAACUCAUAAUAUCCCAGUUUUAUAACCGACUAUGUGAAACACCACGACAAGAGUGAGCAGAAGCCCUUGACCUGCCCCCGGCACCCUGGCACUGUGUGGUCCGGCCAGCAGCUCCAGCACCCACGGCAAGGAUGGCGUCAGAAGCCCUAGCCCCAGCCUCGCUGGCAGCCUCCAGGACCCUGUCCUGAAGCAAAUGCAGCCCCUCCUGUUGGAACCCAAAUCACGAGUUGCGCCCAGCAGCCUACAGAUCACGUCUGAAGCCAGGAUGAGUGAGAAAAGACACCUUCCUUCACCUGGACUCCCUUCUUGCUGCCACAGUGCACGGCUGGACAUCUACUGGAAACCUGCAAGGAGACGGGAUGUUCUUGGUGAGGCUGUGCACAGGGGCACUGAUUUCUCCCCGGAUUGAAGGCAUGGGGAUGAGGUUCUGGGGCAGUGCGCCUCCCAGGGCUCCGACUCCCAGGGGCUGCACUUCUACCCCCAGCUCUGAAGGACGAUGCCUCCUUUGCUCUCUGCAGAGGCUUCAUCUCCUGGAGCCAGGACCAAUACUCAUUGCCCAACCCCACGGUUUUCACAGACGCUCCCUUCCUAGAUUCUCCAAGAGAUUCUCUUCUUGCUUUUUGCUCCUGAUGUUUAUUAUAUUGCAGGGUGGCUCCCCGUGACCUCAUGAUUGGACAUGGAGAAGGGUUCUCUGGCCUAAGAACCAGGGCCCCUGAGUUCUAGCCAGGACAGUCCCCAAGUCCCCAAGCCGCGGUGUAACUGGGCAAAUCAUGUCAGUUCUCUGGGCCUCACUUUCCGCAUAAUCCAGACCGAUGGAGCUGAUGAUGUACCUGGGAGAAGAAAGGGAGCGAGCACGGCUCCUUGCUUCUCAGAGUGUGGGUCAGGGCUUCCCCAGGGAACUUGCUGAGAAGCGCAGAACCUUGGCCCCCAAGCCGGAUUUACUGGACGACUAAAAAUCUACAUUUUAACAAAAUCCCUAGAUUUACUGGCACAUUGACAUGUGAGAAGAAAUGGUAUGAGUGACAAGCAGUUAAUUUGCUUAAAGUUUGGCUCUCAUAGUAAGAGCAAGAAGGCUUGGGAACAUAGUGUUUAAAACCACUGCAGCGGGGGCACCUGGGUGGUUCAGUGGUUUAGCGGCUGCCUUUGGCUCAGGGUGUGAUCCCAGGGUCCUGGGAUCGAGUCCCACAUGGGGUCCUCGCAGGGAGCCUGCUUCUCCCUCUGCCUGUG